GUGCUCGUUUUGGCAGCACAUAUACUAAAAUUGAAACGAUACAGAGAAGCUUAGCAUGGCCCCUGCUCACUUUAUACACUUAUCACAGGGCCUUAGGAUUUUGAA